GAUGAACGCUGGCGGCGUGCCUAAUACAUGCAAGUCGAGCGAACGGACGAGAAGCUUGCUUCUCUGAUGUUAGCGGCGGACGGGUGAGUAACACGUGGAUAACCUACCUAUAAGACUGGGAUAACUUCGGGAAACCGUAGCUAAUACCGGAUAAUAUUUUGAACCGCAUGGUUCGAAAGUGAAAGACGGUCUUGCUGUCACUUAUAGAUGGAUCCGCGCUGCAUUAGCUAGUUGGUAAGGUAACGGCUUACCAAGGCAACGAUGCAUAGCCGACCUGAGAGGGUGAUCGGCCACACUGGAACUGAGACACGGUCCAGACUCCUACGGGAGGCAGCAGUAGGGAAUCUUCCGCAAUGGGCGGAAGCCUGACGGAGCAACGCCGCGUGAGUGAUGAAGGUCCUCGGAUCGUAAAACUCUAUUAUUAGGGAAGAACAUAUGUGUAAGUAACUGUGCACAUCUUGACGGUACCUAAUCAGAAAGCCACGGCUAACUACGUG
rnacentral:rRNA from 1 species